UUUCCUGCUCAGGACGAACGCUGGCGGCGUGCUUAACACAUGCAAGUCGAACGAUGAAGCCCUUCGGGGUGGAUUAGUGGCGAACGGGUGAGUAACACGUGGGCAAUCUGCCCUGCACUCUGGGACAAGCCCUGGAAACGGGGUCUAAUACCGGAUAUGACCGUCCAUCGCAUGGUGGAUGGUGUAAAGCUCCGGCGGUGCAGGAUGAGCCCGCGGCCUAUCAGCUAGUUGGUGAGGUAGUGGCUCACCAAGGCGACGACGGGUAGCCGGCCUGAGAGGGCGACCGGCCACACUGGGACUGAGACACGGCCCAGACUCCUACGGGAGGCAGCAGUGGGGAAUAUUGCACAAUGGGCGAAAGCCUGAUGCAGCGACGCCGCGUGAGGGAUGACGGCCUUCGGGUUGUAAACCUCUUUCAGCAGGGAAGAAGCGAAAGUGACGGUACCUGCAGAAGAAGCGCCGGCUAACUACGUGCCAGCAGCCGCGGUAAUACGUAGGGCGCAAGCGUUGUCCGGAAUUAUUGGGCGUAAAGAGCUCGUAGGCGGCUUGUCACGUCGGUUGUGAAAGCCCGGGGCUUAACCCCGGGUCUGCAGUCGAUACGGGCAGGCUAGAGUUCGGUAGGGGAGAUCGGAAUUCCUGGUGUAGCGGUGAAAUGCGCAGAUAUCAGGAGGAACACCGGUGGCGAAGGCGGAUCUUUGGGCCGAUACUGACGCUGAGAGCGAAAGCUACCCCC
rnacentral:rRNA from 1 species